AGACGAACCGGGCGAACGUUAUUCGGAAUCACUGGGCUUAAAGCGUGCGUAGGCGGCUUGGCAAGUUGGGUGUGAAAGCCCUCGGCUCAACCGAGGAACUGCGCUCAAAACUGCCAGGCUUGAGGGAGAUAGAGGUGAGUGGAACUGAUGGUGGAGCGGUGAAAUGCUUUGAUAUCAUCAGGAACACCGGUGGCGAAAGCGGCUCACUGGGUCUCUUCUGACGCUGAGGCACGAAAGCUAGGGGAGCGAACGGGAUUAGAUACCCCAGUAGUCC
rnacentral:rRNA from 1 species